rnacentral:tRNA from 1 species
ACCGAAAUAGCUCAGUUGCGAGAGCGUUAGACUAUAGAUAGAAAAGUCCCCGGUUCGAUCCCGGGUUCCGGCA